AGAGUUUGAUCAUGGCUCAGAACGAACGCUGGCGGUAUGCCUAACACAUGCAAGUCGAACGCGAACGGAAUCUUCGGAUUCCAAGUAGAGUGGCGCACGGGUGAGUAACACGUGGAUAAUCUGCCCUAAGGUCUGGGAUAACACUUCGAAAGGGGUGCUAAUACCGGAUAAGCUCACGCCCUCUUCGGAGGAAGUGAGAAAAGAUUUAUUGCCUUAGGAUGAGUCCGCGGUCCAUUAGCUAGUUGGUGGGGUAAUGGCCUACCAAGGCUGCGAUGGAUAGCUGGUCUGAGAGGAUGAUCAGCCACACUGGAACUGAGACACGGUCCAGACUCCUACGGGAGGCAGCAGUGGGGAAUUUUGCGCAAUGGGGGAAACCCUGACGCAGCAAUACCGCGUGAAGGAUGAAGGCCUUUGGGUCGUAAACUUCUGUCAGUGGGGAAGAAAUACUCGUAAGAGUGCUGACGGUACCCACAAAGGAAGCACCGGCUAACUCCGUGCCAGCAGCCGCGGUAAUACGGAGGGUGCAAGCGUUGUUCGGAAUUAUUGGGCGUAAAGAGCAUGUAGGCGGUCUGUUAAGUCUGGUGUG
rnacentral:rRNA from 1 species